rnacentral:rRNA from 1 species
GAAGAACGCAGCGAAAUGCGAUAAGUAAUGUGAAUUGCAGAAUUCAGUGAAUCAUCGAAUCUUUGAACGCACCUUGCGCUCCUUGGUAUUCCGAGGAGCAUGCCUGUUUGAGUGUCAUGGAAUUCUCAACCCACACGUCCUUGUGAUGAUGC